rnacentral:misc_RNA from 1 species
UGGUUCUGGCAUCGAUGAAGAACGCAGCGAAAUGCGAUAAGUAAUGCGAAUUGCAGAAUCCGUGAGUCAUCGAAUCUUUGAACGCACAUUGCGCCCUUUGGUAUUCCGAAGGGCAUGCCUGUUCGAGCGUCAUUAUCACCACUCAAGCCCGGCUUGCUGUUGGUGGCAGCGUACUGGUCAACCGGCUACGCUCCACCCAAAGAUAAUGACGGCGUCUGUGAGGACUCCUGUACACUGAGCUUUCGGGCACGUAUAUGGUUAGAACUCCAGGCGCCGGUCGACGUCCUUAGGGACACUUUUUACCAAGGUUGACCUCGGAUCAGGUAGGGAUACCCGCUGA